rnacentral:rRNA from 1 species
ACGAGAAAGUGGAGCAAUCCAUGAGUAAAGUGGCGACCGGGUGAGUAACACGUGACUAACCUACCUCCGAAUGGGGAAUAACUCCGGGAAACCGGGGCUAAUACCGCAUAACACCGCAGGGUCAAAGCAGCAAUGCGUUUGGAGAGGGGGUCGCGGCUGAUUAGCUAGUUGGCGGGGUAACGGCCCACCAAGGCGAAGAUCGGUAUCCGGCCUGAGAGGGCGCACGGACACACUGGAACUGAAACACGGUCCAGACUCCUACGGCAGGCAGCAGUGGGGAAUUUUGCGCAAUGGGGGAAACCCUGACGCAGCAACGCCGCGUGGAGGAUGAAGCCCUUUGGGGCGUAAACUCCUUUCGACCAAGACGAUAAUGACGGUACUGGUGGAAGAGGCACCGGCUAACUCUGUGCCAGCAGCCGCGGUAAUACAGAGGGUGCAAGCGUUGUUCGGAAUUAUUGGGCGUAAAGGGCGCGUAGGCGGUGCCACAAGUCACCUGUGAAAUCUCCGGGCUUAACUCGGAGCCUGCAGGCGAAACUGUGGUGCUGGAGUGUGGGAGAGGUGCGUGGGAUUCCCGGUGUAGCGGUGAAAUGCGUAGAUAUCGGGAGGAACACCUGUGGCGAAAGCGGCGCACUGGACCAUAACUGACGCUGAGGCGCGAAAGCUAGGGGAGCAAACAGGAUUAGAUACCCUGGUAGUCCUAGCCCUAAACGAUGAUUGCU